rnacentral:rRNA from 1 species
UACGGGGGGGGCAAGCGUUGUUCGGAAUUACUGGGCGUAAAGGGCUCGUAGGUGGCCAACUAAGUCAUACGUGAAAUCCCUCGGCUUAACCGGGGAACUGCGUCUGAUACUGGAUGGCUUGAGGUUGGGAGAGGGAUGCGGAAUUCCAGGUGCAGCGGUGAAAUGCGUAGAUAUCUGGAGGAACACCGGUGGCGAAGGCGGCAUCCUGGACCAAUUCUGACACUGAGGAGCGAAAGCCAGGGGAGCAAACGGG